rnacentral:lncRNA from 1 species
AUGGCCCCCUGCGGCUCCUGCUUUGAUCCCCGGUUCUUCCACGUCAAGCGGACCAUCGCCAAGCAGCCUCCACCAGCCACCCCCACGCUCGCCCACGGCCCCGCUGCUCCCCCGGGCCCUGCCCUGUGGGGCCUCGGGGGCUGUGAGACCCUCCCAGCCUGGGCAGCCCCCGGCAUCCUCCAGGGACCACCCACACAGCCCCCGCUGACGCAGCUCCCAUCCUUCAGCUACCAAGGCAGAGCGGUGGCCGCAGCGCCCCCGGCGCUGCUGCUGACCUCCAUCCCUGGCCUCCAGCACAUCCGGGGACCUUCUGGAUGGAGCCAAAUCUCCAGCACGGCCACCCCCACAGGGGCACCCCUGGGCAGCCAUGGCACCCGACAAAGCCACGUGCCCCCCAGACCCUUGGCUGCCCCCCAGAAACCAGCUCCUGGGGACCCGGCAGGCACAGUGGAUGUGACUGAGGAGAUGCUCCUCCAAGAGGCUUUUAGGCUCUUUGCAUCCUCCACGGACACAGUGGGGUCCAGCCAGGACAGCGCCACCACCAUCUCCAGGCCUGGGGACCCUGGUGCCACCAGGGGAGAGGGCAGAGCGGUGGCCCCAGCACACACCACGCUGCCAAACUCCAUCCCCGGCCACAAGAACAGCCUUGAAUGGUCUUCAGAGACCAAGAGCUCCAGCACGGCCACCCCUGAGGAGAGAAGCCCAGACAGCAACAUCCCUGCCUCCAGUGACCUCUCCUCAGACACUGACCUCUCCUUGGACAGCAUCAUCUCCCUGGAUACCAGUGUCCCCACCAGCCCCUCUGCUGUCCACCAAUGCCAAGCCCUCGGGGAUCUCAAAGGGCCUCAAGAGUUCCCUCUGGAGGAGGCCCUGAGGCUCUUCGACUGCUCCGGGGAGGUGGGAGGUGUCAGCCAGGACAGUCCUGGCAGCAGCCCCAGGCCCACGGAGCCUGGGGACACCUGCACAGCCAUUUCCCCCAGCGACUUUGAUGCUGUCGAGCUGCCUGAGGAGCUUUUGAGUCACAACUACACUCUGGAGGAGACCAUGGAGGCUGUGCGCUUCCUGGAGAAACUCCUCAAUGGGCCGGAGUCCCAGGAGCUCUGGGAGGAUGUGGGGAUGCAGCCGUCACCAGAGUCCAAGGAGCCCUUGGGGGACGUGGGGACGGAAGUGUCAUCAAAGUCCAAGGAGCCCUUGGGGGACGUGGGGACAGAGCCAUGGCCAGUGACCCCAGAGCCCCAGGGCAACAUGGGGACGGAGCCAUCAGCACAGUCCCCGGAGCCCUGGGGGGAUGUGGGGAUGGAGCCAUGGCCACAGUCCCCAGGGCCCUGGGGGGAUGUGGUCAUGGAGCCAUCAGCACAGUCCCCGGAGCCCUGGGGGGAUGUGGGGACGGAGCUGCCAGCGACCCAGCCUGCCCUGGGGGAGAGGCGUGGGACAAAGCGGGGGAGCAGCCCCCCAUCCCCACCACCCAGCAAGCGCAGGGCUCUGGCAGGGGGGCCGGGGGCGAAUCCCACCACAAGGAAGAGACGGAGAUGA